AGAAAGGAAGUUGACAAACAGUUGCUGCUCUUAGGGCCUGUCAGAGGUUCUGGAGCAAAAAAACAAGAGCCUGUGUGUAGAAAGGCAGGUAGUCAAAAGGUUCCAAAAGUGUGGAUGGAUUGUUGAAGGAAGAAAAGCAGCAGCGAAUGUUCUCAAAGCGCUCGGGGAAUCUGGGGGAGACACAGGGGAUUACCACGCCCACGUGGGGAAGGCAGAUUAAAUGAGAAAAACACUGCUGGAUCCACUCUCUGAGGACCCCUCCCAGACCUUGGACCAAUCCCAGUCCAGGGCUCAGAUGUCCUCAUCACUUCCCUAAUGAUUAUUAUGCUGGUAACAAACGAUUACACCACCUGUGACUUGAAAGCCCUCCUCGGAUUAGAACAAAAACACCUGCCAGCCCUCAGGCUGACUCAAAGUGGGAGCCGUUUAUUUAUGAGGCCUGAGAGUAGUUAGAGCGCCUCCUACUGGUCCCGGUUCCACCCAGCAUUCCCUAAAGGGGGAGGAAGGCCCGUGUAACCCUUGCAAGCCCAGGUGUCAGCUCCAGGAAGGGGCACAGAUCCAGCCACCAGUUCAACCUUCACCUAAGCCUCAGCUACUGCCCUGGAUCUCUCCAAGAUCAUCCAGUAAAAUUACCAUUGCACUUAGCACCAGAUGAACAAAACACGGCUCUGGGCCUAUGAUGGACACAGAGAAGGGCUGCUCUAUAGUACUGUAGAGUGCACUCUGACGAAUGGGGUGGAAGAAAUUCGUUUCAAUCGGGGAAAUCUGGGAAGGCUUGCGGAGGAGGUGGCCGUUAUCCUGGAACCUGGCCCGUGGCUCUCUGGAAGGCAGGGACAGCAUCCCAGCAGGGGGAGUGGGUCACUGUGGUAAAGAUCUAAAGGGAGAUGUGCAGUGUAGUUCUCAGUGUGCUUCCUUGGGGAGUAAGAGAAGGGGGAGCAUGGGUGGAAAUGCAAUCGUCCUGGGGGAAGCUUGGGAUGUGGUGAUGAAGUUUCAACUUUUUCAACUAUGGGGAGUCCCUGAAGGGUUCUGAGCCAAAGGACGCUAUAGAAAGGGCAACCACUCCCCCUGGUGAGGUAGCUGCUGGUUGGAGCACUGUCCUGAUACACCAAGGUUUCAGGUUCUAUCCCUAGUCAGGGUACAUACAGGAAUCAACCAAUGGUUCAGUGGUGGAGUUUCGACCUAUAAACCAGGAAUUCAUGGUUUGA